UGGGGAAUUUUGGACAAUGGGCGCAAGCCUGAUCCAGCCAUGCCGCGUGCGGGAAGAAGGCCUUCGGGUUGUAAACCGCUUUUGUCAGGGAAGAAAUCUUCUGAGUUAAUACCUCGGGAGGAUGACGGUACCUGAAGAAUAAGCACCGGCUAACUACGUGCCAGCAGCCGCGGUAAUACGUAGGGUGCAAGCGUUAAUCGGAAUUACUGGGCGUAAAGCGUGCGCAGGCGGUUUUGUAAGACAGAGGUGAAAUCCCCGGGCUCAACCUGGGAACUGCCUUUGUGACUACAAGGCUUGAGUGCGGCAGAGGGGGAUGGAAUUCCGCGUGUAGCAGUGAAAUGCGUAGAUAUGCGGAGGAACACCGAUGGCGAAGGCAAUCCCCUGGGCCUGCACUGACGCUCAUGCACGAAAGCGUGGGGAGCAAACAGGAUUAGAUACCCUGGUAGUCCACGCCCUAAACGAUGUCAACUGGUUGUUGGGAAGGUUCCUUCUCAGUAACGUAGCUAACGCGUGAAGUUGACCGCCUGGGGAGUACGGCCGCAAGGUUGAAACUCAAA
rnacentral:rRNA from 1 species